ACGGCCUUAUCACGUUCAAAAUACCGGUUCCCGUACGGUCACCGAAGUUAAACAGCGUCGAGCCUGAUCAGUACCUAGAUGUGUGUCCGCUUGCGAAUAACAAGUAUUGUCA